rnacentral:lncRNA from 1 species
CCAAAUUUCCCAAAAUCCUCUCUUCCAAAAUUAAAGAAAAUCUUUCAAACCAAUUCAUAAAACACCUUAAAAACAUCAAGUUCUUUUUUCAAAAAUCAAGAUUCAAGGAUUUUCAUCAACUUUUCUCCAUCAAAGUGUAGGUUUUUGCAAGUAAGUGUUAAAAUUUUUGCAAGAAAUUUUAUUUCUGAGGAACUUGAUUAUUUGAGAAGAGUUGUGUUGAUAAUUCUUGAUGGGCUUUGCAUAUUGUUGGUAGUAUUGACUUUGUGCUUGAAGUUUUAUGGAGAUUUAUGGUGGAGUGUGAGAAUCGCUUAAUUGUCAACAUAGAAUAAUGUCAAUUUGUUGCACAUUGUGCUAAUUUAUGAGAAUUUGUUGAUUGUUGGUGAUAUUAUUGUUGCUGCCAUAGAUUUGGAGAGAAUUGAAUUUUUUAUGAUUAUUUGUGGAUAUAUUUUCUGUUUGUUGGGUGUUUGGAAUUUGUUGAAAAUUAAUUGUGAAUUUUUUAGAAAACCAUGGCACCUAAAAGAACUAAAAAUACAAUAGUGGGUUUGAUAGUGCUAAAUUUGUGUCAGUUGAGGUGUUUAAGCACCAUAAUCAGUGAUUAGUUCAAAAAUCUCCGAUCCCUUCAAGAGGCAUAAUCCUUGAAAUACUUAUUCAUACCUUCAUUUCUCCAAGUAGUGGACAUUCCAGCACAAAAGUUGCUCCACACAUAAGCAAGAAUCCAUUUUUCUUGAAUAAAAUGCAACUUCUUAAACCAAUUAUUUUCCUACAAAUUAUACUUUUCAAUUAUCUCCACCUAUUCUGAUUCAAACUCAUCUAGAAUUAAUGCAUAAUGAAUACAUUGAAAAAUUCAAUUCUUGAAAUCAUCAAAUUAAUGGUAACCAUAACUGAGAUUCUCUGGAAAUUGUUUUUCAAUAUACCAUAUGCAAUAAUGAUGUGUAGUAUUUAACAAAUCCUUUGCAAUUGCAUUAGUUAUGGCUGCAUCUUGAUGUAUAAUAAUUGUUUUUCGAGGAUGUCCAAACAUUGCUUCCAACUAAGUAUUUAAUAAUCAAACAAAUGUUGUUUCUAUCUCAUCCCAGAACAAAGCACAACCAAAUAAAAUGGAUUAGUGGUGGUGAUUAACUCCAAUAAAAGGAACAAAUGGCAUUUUCUUCCUGUUUGAUAGAUAGGUUGGUUCAAAAGCCACAACAUCACCAAAAUACAUAUAAGCCCUUCCCGACCUAGAACCAGCUCAAAAACAAUUAGCUAGUUAACCUUCCACAUCCAUUUGUAUUGCAUAAAAAAUCCAAAUUCUUGUACUAACAUUCUUUAUUAACUAUGCACCUUCCUUUUUAAGUUAUUUUUGUCUUCUAUUAUUCAAAUAAUUUUGAACAUCAUGCUCAAUUAAACCAACAAUAUCAAUGCCACCCGAUUCAUUAGUUAAAGUAGACAUGACUUUACUAGGAUGAAUUCCUGAAUCAUCAAGUACAUUAAUCAAAUUUUGUUGAGUUCUUGUCCUUUUUCUAUGAACAUGUAAAAAUUGUGCACUUUUUGGAGUAGCAAGCUCAUAAGUAUGAAUUUUUAUGAAUCUAGAAAUUAGCCAUUUCUCUUCAACUCUCUUGGAAACAUAAAUCUUGGCUUUGCAUCCAACUCUUAUCUCAUCAGUUGGUGCUUGAAUUCUAUCUUCCCUCUCAAGAUAUUUUUUUUGUACAAUAACCUUCCUUCUAACAAACAAAUUCUUGUCCGAUAAUCACUUAAGUUUUCCAAGAUUUCAUUAUGUGAUGCUUGCAAAUUCCAAAUCCCUCACGCUUUGCAUACUUAAUAUAGUACUCUAAAGCCUCUUCUAGUGAUUGAAACUCCAUUCCAACAAAUGGCUCUAAACACUCUUGAUUAUUUGAUCUUUCAUUCUCAUGCUCAUCAUGAUUCUUCACACUCAAAUCUAAUAUAUUUUCACAAUCAUAAUCUUGAUCAAUCCCAUCAACAUUGAUUCUUUGUCAGCUUGAGUUGCCAUUAUGAACCUAUAACAAAAAUUUAAGAUUAUAUUUUAAGUAAAAUUAAAGCCAAUCUACACUAAGAACCGCUAAGUUCAUUCCAUGUUCAAAAAUUCUAGUCUAAACUUUAUAAGUCCUCCAAAAGUUAAAAUAACAAUUUCUUGAAAGAACAUACUUGCAUAGCACAAACAAAAUUCCAAGAAACUUCAAACAAACCAAUCAUCAUAUGCCAUAACAAAGAAUCCUAAUUAAAAAUGUCAAUAUAUUCAAAUUCAAUUUAAUGUUUACCCAAACUAUUGGUGGAAAAACAAAGCCAUUUUGAAUUCCAUAAGCAUAGUCAACUUUUAAUAUUUAUAUCAAAAUACUAAGUUGCAUAACAAAGAAACUAUAUCGAAAAUGACAUCACCAUCUUAUGAACAGUUAUAGCCUUUUUUAUUCUUUCUUUCAAUUGUAAUUGGAUUUAAAUUGUAAGUUAAUGCAUCCUUUUUAGAAUGUAGAGAAUUUAUGGCAUGCUUGGUUAAGGGAAUAGAAUAGCUAUUACCCCCUAUUCCAAUUACCAACAAAAACUACAUUUGGUUGGAUGGAAUGGUCAUUCUAAGGAAUGGUCAUUCCAAGAGGGCUCUAAAUAGCUAAUACUAAGCCUCUUUGGUAUUGGCUAUUCUUGAGGAUUAGAAAUAGAUUUAUAAAUUGAUUGGACACAAAUGUCACUUAAUAAUAUAAAAAAUACUCUCCCAUAUAAUACCCUAUUCCAUUGUCGCAUCUAAACCAACCAUCCGUGAGUUUCUUUCUCUUCAAUACUCCUUCUCUUUUUAAAUGAACCAUGCACUAUCGCCCUUUUUCACAAUCGAUUUCCCUAUAUCUAGUAAGUUGUUUAUUAUCUCUCUCUCUCUCUUCUAGUUUGGAUACUUUUUUUUGAAUAGUUUUGGGUUAACCAAGAAAAGAAAAAGGUUUUUAAUUUAUAAAGGAAUUCGAUUCAGUCACACAAGAAUUCUUCUUUUCUCUAUUCUAGGUUAUCAUAGCAAAACAAUUCAUAGCUUUUAAGACAAUCUAGAUAUUUGAUACAAGAUUCAACUCAUUAAUGCAAGUCUUUUCAGUUUAUUAUUCAAAAGAUUGACAACUCAAUCUAGCUAGGGCUUUAAGGAAGCUAGGUAAUUUUCACUUCUAAUACUCUGUUUCUUUUCAUGCUCAUAAACAUGGAAAAAGUUUGCUUGCUUGAUUCAAUUUCGUGCAUCUUAAGAGUUGUUCGUAAUUCUUUGUUGGACUUAUUUUGUCAUUUUCCCUCUUUCACCAAGCUAUUCACUUCAGCUACAAUAAUGGUAUUGCAUUGAAAAUGAUCAGUAACAGUGUUUAUGCUAAGCCCAAGUUUUAAGACCUCACACUCUCAUUUUGAGUCUCAAUUCAUAUGUGGGUCUUGGAUGUACUUUCAUAUUUCUCCCAAAAAGUGAUUGGAAUAUCAUGAUUUCGAGCAGCAUUCAUCCAUUAUAAUUUAGGAGGCUUUUGAAGGCAUGGUGGUCUAAACAAAAAAAAGGAAAAAGGAAAAAGAAACUUCAUUUUCUUCUUUCAUUCUUAGGAAUAAGUCAUUACUUUUUGAGAACAAGUAGAAUAAAGGAUUAAGACCUUGAAGAAAGAAUGGACACUUGUAUAUGAUAUGGUACAAGGAAGAGGUACUAGUGGAUCUGGUUGAAAUAAUGAAAGGAACAUGGUUAUUACGAAAGAUGCUAUAUGGGAUUCUUAUAUAAGUGUAAAUAUGUUGUUUAAAUUUUUUUACAUAUUUGUAUUCAUUUUUUCUUAUCAUUAUUAUACGUAAUAAUAUUAUUUAUUUACUUUGAUUAGAGUCACAAAAAUCCUACUGAGUUUAAAAAAAAGGAGUUUUCCUUUUUUUAAUGAGUUAUUUGAUAUUUAUUCUAAAGACCAAGCAAUAGAACAAGAUGCUCAAACUCUUGCAGAUGUCUUAGAUGAAAUUGAAGAAGAUGCGGCUCAUGGGAUAGAUGAAGAUUUUGCAUGUGAACAUGAAAUUGGUUUGGAUGAUGUGGAUGUCUCUACCACCUAACCUCAACCAUCAGUUAAUAGAAGUAAUCAAAAUUCUAUAAGAAGUAAGAGGUGAAGGACCAAUGACAUGAGUGAAUGGAUUGAAAAAUUUAUGGAUGCUACCAUUUUAUUGAGUGAGAAAUUAGAAAAUAUUGGAACUUCAUUAAGCCAUGCUUUAGAGACUGAAGUACUUAUGCAUAAAAAAAUCUUCAAGAUUUGAAUAGCGGAUUACAUAAAGUUGUGGGUUUGACAGAGGAUGAAAUGGACAAGGCAUCCUACAAACUUACUAAUAAUUCAUCCCAAAUGACUUACCUUUUUACGCUUCCCCUUAGUAGCAGACUUAAAUGGUUGAGAAAGAUCAUCUCAAGGCCUUGAUGUUAGAAUAGUUUGGUCUUUCAAGACUUUAUUGUUAGUUGGUGAGAACUUAAAAACUUGUUAGUUGGUUUGUUCUUCUAUGACAACAAUAUUAUUAUGGAUAUCUGUGUUUUUGAAUA